rnacentral:rRNA from 1 species
AUACGUAGGGGGCAAGCGUUGUCCGGAUUCAUUGGGCGUAAAGAGCGUGUAGGCGGCCAGGUAGGUCGGUUGUGAAAACUGGAGGCUCAACCUUCAGAGGUCGACCGAAACCAUCUGGCUAGAGUCCGGGAGAGGAGAGUGGUAAAUUCCUGGAUGUAGCGGUGAAAUGACGCAGAAUAUCAAGGAAGAACACCCGUGGCGAAAGCGGCUCUCUGGAACGGUACUGACGCUGAGA